AAAUAAAAUUAUUAAUCCGACGGUAAAGAUCAAACAUCCAUUAACCUAAUUCCCUGCACACAUUUAUCAACCCUAAUAUUUAUCUAAGAAUUCUUUUAUUUCAGUUGAACCAGAUCGCUAGCUUGUUCUAUCUCGACUUUGUAUGGAUUUGAACUCAAACGAAACUCAUAAUCACCGUACUUAUUUCUUGUUGCUAUAUCCCCUCUUUCCCUGUAUGUUCUUGAUUGUAGCAGCCAUUCCACCAUUUUAGUUCAUUCCUUCAUCACUAUAAUCAGCAAUAGCAGCAUCACGUUCCCGAUCUGAACUCAACCAAAAACUUAUUCUUAUUCACUACCACAUCCCAUUAAUUAAACAUUUCAAACCAAGAAUACCAGAUGCCCUUUUCACUAACCUAAAUCUCUAGAUAGCAACCAAUUUUUAUCAAUCAACAUCACAAAGUGGGGCUUUAAUAAAAUUCCCAAAAUUCUCAUUUCCCAAUCUAUGGUUUCAAAAUGGGUUAAUUUUCGAACCAAAUUCCCAGAAAUCCAAAUAAUGGGUGUUACAGCUUAGGGCUUCAAUUCAUUUCCAUCAAAAAUUAAAAAAGACGGAAACAACAAAAACAUCAAAUUUUCCUAUGUAGUGAUAGCAUAGAAUUACAAUUAAUCAAUUCAAAUUGAGGAGAAGAACUUAAUACCAAUAACAAGAAUAAAAUAAAUCGAAGUCCUUCAUCAAGCUAGCAUGGAGCAGCAAGGUUUCCAUGGAGAAAUUGGUAGAAGAAUGAUGAGAGAUCCAUCAACGUUAGAAACAAAAACAGCAUCAGAACAUUUGGAAGAAAGACCGAGUGACUGGGCGUACGUUGCUGAUAGUAAUCAUCAGAGAAUCAAAAAAAGUUCGUAAAAGAAUUCUUAGUAAGAGGCGAUAAUGGUGUUAGGAAGAACAUCCAAAGAUCGCAGUCAUGAAUGGGAAAGAUUGGUAGUGGGGGUGAUGGGAAAAUGGUCAUGUAAAUGGUUGGAAGUUAAGGGAGUUGUUUGUUUUGGUGCAAGGGAGGGAGGAGUUUGGAUGAUCCAGUGCAGCGUAACAUUGACAGGACAUAUAUAAAUGUUAAUCCACCUAAUGUUGGGAACAUGGUAACCUCCACUGAUUUUAGGCCGAGUAUAUUUAAUUUUACGAGAUAUUAGAGAAAACUAAAUACUCAAAUAAUAAUAACAGUCAAUUACCGUACGCAAAUAUUUAGUAACUUCAUUUGGUUGAUUUUUCUCAUUUCAUGCUUUGUACAGUAAUUGUUAACUGACUUGGAUUUGGUACACCGAUGAAAAUUCUUAAUAAACCAUUUUGUAUGUUUUCAAGUAAGAUACAUUUUUAUUUUUUGGUGCACACAUAACUGAACACAGUUUGUUUUUGACUAAUAAACAAGAAAAAUAAGUAGUAUGUUUUUGAUUGGUAAAUUUAAUUUGGUAUUGGCCACCCCAGAUGAAUAAGACACUGAGAUCCGGUCUUUAGCAAAUGAAUUGGUUGAUAUUGGUCCUUCAAGAAAUCAAGUGAAUUCAAUUUGGUGACAUGUUGCUAUAUCGUAAAGGGAAUAAAGAUGCAGGACCAAUAUGGAAUGGACUAUGGAGGGAGGAAAUUUGAGGUACUGAUAAAAAGAAUUCCAGCCAUUGCAAGAAAGGCGUUUCCGAAAAAACACUUGUUUUUUUCUCCCUCGAUACCUACUAGAAAAAAGGCAGACAAUUUCAUGGAUAAUGUCAACAAACCAAUGCUACUACUGUUUUUGUUACUGGAUGCCAAAAUGACUGUACCAUUUUGCUUGGAAGGAUACCAAUCCAAUGGCAAGCAAUGAUUUGGUACUCUCCCAAGCAAAGGGGUGCCCAUUAGCAGAGUUGUUUUUGUUGCACAAGAGAUAUGAUCAGGCAGGCUUUAUGAAAAACAAAGCACAUGACGCGUUACUAUAUUCAAAGCCUACAAAAACCUUAAAUUUUGGAAUUCUUUAAGACACUAGCCAAAUCUGAGAGACUAGAAGUAUACGCAACUGGUCUUUAAAUACAGAAGAAUCCCCUUCAAAUCCUCAUGCACAGAAAUAAGAAAGAGUUGCAUCUCUCUUAAAACAAAUUCAACUAAUCAAAACAUGAAGUUCAUUGUCCAAAUUUCUGUAAUCUUGACAGGCCUUUUGUUCUCCGGUAUAGUGUUUGUAGGUGCAGCGCCAACUUACAAGUGUAAGCAGGAAAUGACAGGAAUUUUCAGAGGACCAUGUAAGCCGCACUGUGAAAAAUUUUGUGCUCAAUACUACAAAGGAAUUGGAGAAUGUGAUGAGCUACACAGAUGUGUUUGUACUUAUAAUAGUCCUAUUCAGUGUGAUGGAUAACUCAAGUAUGGUUAUCAUGAUCAAUAAGUUUAAGAUACUGAUUAACGAAGCUCAUAAAUAAAAUUAUAUAAAAGUUAUUUAUCACAAAGUUUGCGUAUUUGAUUUA